UGUUCUAACAGGGAAAUAGAUAAUCACAGAAUUACAGAUUCCUGUCUCGUUGUUUGGUUCACAUCUCAUGGCAUCCGCCGCCGGUAAUCGCCGUCGCCGGCACCCCCCCGAUGGUCACUUCACGCAAUUCGUCCAAAACGCCUCCACCAAUCUAUCAUCGCUAUUCGCCCCCAAACCGCGGUCGCCACCCGCAUCCUCAUCGAAAAUCCAUCUGCCGCUUCUCCUACCGGACCGAGUCCUCUCGCUCGCCGCCUCAUCCGACUCAGCGCAGCCGGACUCUCUUUCCCCAACGCAGCCUAGAGAUUUUCCAUCUUCUUCGGCGGAUAACAGCAUGCCUGCUGCGGAGUCCGGUUCGAGGCUUCCAUCGACGGUUCGAGUCACGACCGGAAAAGGCGGUGGACCGGCUUUUGUAGGUCAGGUUUACAGCAUGUGUGACCUUUCGGGGACUGGUUUAAUGGCUGUAUCGACGCAUUUUAACAUUCCCUUCCUAUCGAAAAGAACACCAGAGUGGUUAAAGAAGGUUUUUGCUGCAGUGACCAAGAGCGAGAGGACCGCCCCUAUCUUUAGUUUCUUCAUGGAUGUGGGCGAUGCUGUUUCUUAUGUGAAAAAGCUCAAUAUACCCAGUGGUGUUGUUGGUGCAUGCCGUCUUGAUAUCGCAUAUGAACAUUUUAAGGAGAAACCCGAGAGGUUUCAAUUCAUACCAAAUGGACGACAGGUGAAGGAAGCCAACAAACUUUUGAAGACCUUACCACACAGCAAUAAGAAAACGAAAGUGCAGGGUGUUCCUGUUUUCAGUGCUCAAAACUUGGAUAUUGCUAUAGCAACAAAGGAUGGAAUCAAGUGGUAUACUCCUUACUUCUUUGACAAGAACAUGCUCGAUAACAUUCUCGAAGAUUCUGUAGACCAACAUUUCCAUGCAUUGAUCGAAACGAGACAUUUUCAUCGCCGGCGAGAUGCUAUUGAUGAUAGUCUCACUUCUGAAACAAUUGAAGAGAUGCGGGAUAGCAUGUGGGAUCCUCCAGAGGUUCAGGAAAUGCUUGAUGAAGUGGGUCAUUCGGGUAUACCGUUGAGCAUCAUAUCAAAGGUCGCCGAAAUUCAGCUUAUGCACACUGUGGACAAAGUCAUUCUUGGAAAUCGAUGGUUGCGUAGGGCCACCGGAAUUCAACCCAAAUUUCCAUACAUGGUCGACUCUUUUGAGAAAAAAAGUGCAGCUUCCCUUCGGAGAGCUAAAGCUCCACCCCACCUAAUAUCCAAUUCUGAAUUCGAAGACAAGGCUCCUGUACAGAACACUGCCGCCUUAAGCACAGCAAAAACAGAAGAUCGUGCUCUUGCUAAACGAUCUUUACUGAAUUUCCAGUUUCCCUUUGGUGAUUGGCUCCGGCUUCCCUGGUUGAAACAACAAAACACAUUCUUUGACUCAAGAGACGAGAAUUCCACCAAUCAUCAACGUGGAAAAAGACAAGAGUCGCAACCAUCCCCAUUCCUCCCCAAGAUUACAAUGGUUGGAAUCUCAACAGGCGAGCCUGGGAAGAUGAACAAAGAUGCACUAAAGAAGACUAUGGAAGGGUUAACCAAAGAACUAGAGAAGGCAGAUCGGGUAGAACGAUCAGUAAGCCCUAUCGGCAGUGAAUCGGCUGCUGAAGAGAGGGAUCCGCUGUUUGUAGCCAAUGUUGGAGACUAUAAUUCCGGCGCAUUUAAAUCUGGCUCAACAGGAUGGGUUCGCGGAUCGGGAUCGGGAUCGGCUUAAGAGUCGGAAUUUUUUGUGUUUCUUUCUGGUAGCUUUUGCAAUUGGCAUUCAUCCAAAGUGAAAAGGAUGUGAAUCAUGAGAGAGAUGAGUCAGGGAGAGAGGAGGCAGCCAUAGCUGAGAACACACACACAGACAGAGAAGAGGAAGUAAAGAUUAAUAACUUAAUUAUUGUGUGGAUAGGAAGGAAUGGUGAAUUGAAGAGAUUAUUUAUUAGGGUUCAUCGAUUACAGUUGCAUGCAGUGAUUUGAGUUUGCAAUAUUUUUGCAUGACAGAGACAAUAUGGAUAUGGAUUGUGUCACUGUGUGAGUGGAUGGGUGGAAUGGAAGAUGCCCCAAUCUCCAUUGUUGGGUGGUGAAUGCAAGUUAGAGGAGGAGCAAGCACCACAAUCCGCAUGUGAUGAAUAUAUGAAGGCAUGGUGGUGACACUAUUUAUACUUGGAUAUAUUUUUCUUACUAAGGUUGUCUCAGAUUUAUUAUUUCCAAUAAAAAAAUAAUUAUUAUUUAA